UCCCGAGCGUUGUCCGGAAUUAUGGGGCGUAAAGAGCUCGUAGGCGUUUCGUCGCGUCUGCCGUGAAAUCCUCAGGCUCAACUUGAGGCGUGCGGUGGGUACGGGCGGGCUAGAGUGCGGUAGGGGAGAAUGGAACUCCUGGUGUAGCGGUGGAAUGCGCAGAUAUCAGGAAGAACACCGAUGGCGAAGGCAGUUCUCUGGGCCGUAACUGACGCUGAGGAGCGAAAGCGUGGGGAGCGAACAGGAUUAGAUACCCUGGUAGUCCACGCCGUAAACGUUGGGCGCUAGAUGUGGGGACCAUUCCACGGUUUCCGUGUCGUAGCUAACGCAUUAAGCGCCCCGCCUGGGGAGUACGGCCGCAAGGCUAAAACUCAAAGGAAUUGACGGGGGCCCGCACAAGCGGCGGAGCAUGCGGAUUAAUUCGAUGCAACGCGAAGAACCUUACCAAGGCUUGACAUAUACCGGUAACGGCUAGAGAUGGUCGCCCCCUUGUGGUCGGUAUACAGGUGGUGCAUGGUUGUCGUCAGCUCGUGUCGUGAGAUGUUGGGUUAAGUCCCGCAACGAGCGCAACCCUCGUUCUAUGUUGCCAGCGGUUCGGCCGGGGACUCAUAGGAGACUGCCGGGGUCAACUCGGAGGAAGGUGGGGAUGACGUCAAAUCAUCAUGCCCCUUAUGUCUUGGGCUUCACGCAUGCUACAAUGGCCGGUACAAAGGGCUGCGAUGUCGUAAGGCGGAGCGAAUCCCAAAAAGCCGGUCUCAGUUCGGAUUGAGGUCUGCAACUCGACCUCAUGAAGUCGGAGUCGCUAGUAAUCGCAGAUCAGCAACGCUGCGGUGAAUACGUUCCCGGGCCUUGUACACACCGCCCGUCAAGUCAUGAAAGUCGGUAACAC
rnacentral:rRNA from 1 species